rnacentral:rRNA from 1 species
AUUGAACGCUGGCGGCAGGCCUAACACAUGCAAGUCGAGCGGAGCGGCCGACGGGUGAGUAAUGCCUAUGACUCUGCCUGGUCGUGUGGGCUAACGUCCGGCAACGGGCGCUACUUCCUCAUACUAUCAGAUGGUCCUAGGUCGAAUUGGCUAGUUGGUGGGGUAAAGGCCUACCCAGGCGACGAUCCGUCACUGGUCGGAGAUGAUGAUCAGUCACACUGGAACUGAGACACGGUCCAGACUCCUACGGGAGGCAGCAGUGGGGAAUAUUGGACAAUGGGCGAAAGCCUGAUCCAGCCAUGCCGCGUGUGUGAAGAAGGUCCUAGGAUUGUAAAGUACUUUAAGUUGGGAGGCGUUACCAACAGAAUAAGCACCGGCUAACUCCGUGCCAGCAGCCGCGGUAAUUC